rnacentral:rRNA from 1 species
UGGGGGAUAUUGCACAAUGGGCGAAACCCUGAUGCAGCGACGCCGCGUGAGCGAUGAAGGUUUUCGAAUCGUAAAGCUCUGUCCUAUGGGAAGAUAAUGACGGUACCAUGGGAGGAAGCCCCGGCUAACUACGUGCCAGCAGCCGCGGUAAUACGUAGGGGGCGAGCGUUGUCCGGAAUUACUGGGCGUAAAGGGUUCGCAGGCGGCAUGGCAAGUCCGAUGUAAAAGGCGAAGGCUCAACCUUCGUAAGCAUCGGAAACUGUCAAGCUUGAGUGAAGGAGAGGCAAGUGGAAUUCCUAGUGUAGCGGUGGAAUGCGUAGAUAUUAGGAGGAAUACCGGUGGCGAAGGCGACUUGCUGGACUUCAACUGACGCUGAGGAACGAAAGCGUGGGUAGCAAACAGG